AGAGUUUGAUCAUGGCUCAGGAUGAACGCUGGCGGCGUGCCUAACACAUGCAAGUCGAGCGAUCUUCUUCGGAAGAGAGCGGCGGACGGGUGAGUAACGCGUGGGUAACCUGCCUCAUACACAUGGAUAACAUACCGAAAGGUAUGCUAAUACAAGAUGAUAUAAGAGAUUCGCAUGGAUUUCUUAUCAAAGCUCCGGCGGUAUGAGAUGGACCCGCGUCUGAUUAGCUAGUUGGUAAGGUAACGGCUUACCAAGGCGACGAUCAGUAGCCGACCUGAGAGGGUGAUCGGCCACAUUGGAACUGAGACACGGUCCAAACUCCUACGGGAGGCAGCAGUGGGGAAUAUUGCACAAUGGGCGAAAGCCUGAUGCAGCAACGCCGCGUGAGCGAUGAAGGCCUUCGGGUCGUAAAGCUCUGUCCUCAAGGAAGAUAAUGACGGUACUUGAGGAGGAAGCCCCGGCUAACUACGUGCCAGCAGCCGCAGUAAUACGUAGGGGGCUGGCGUUAUCCGGAUUUACUGGGCGUAAAGGGUGCGUAGGUGGUUUCUUAAGUCAGGAGUGAAAGGCUACGGCUCAACCGUAGUAAGCUCUUGAAACUGGGAAACUUGAGUGCAGGAGAGGAAAGUGGAAUUCCUAGUGUAGCGGUGAAAUGCGUAGAUAUUAGGAGGAACACCAGUAGCGAAGGCGGCUUUCUGGACUGUAACUGACACUGAGGCACGAAAGCGUGGGGAGCAAACAGGAUUAGAUACCCUGGUAGUCCACGCCGUAAACGAUGAGUACUAGGUGUCGGGGGUUACCCCCCCUCGGUGCCGCAGCUAACGCAUUAAGUACUCCGCCUGGGGAGUAUGCAAGCUGCACUGAAACUCAAAUGAAUUGACGG
rnacentral:rRNA from 1 species